rnacentral:siRNA from 1 species
UGAGUAGUUACUGUUGUGUGUGU